rnacentral:rRNA from 1 species
AUUGAACGCUGGCGGCAUGCUUUACACAUGCAAGUCGAACGGUAACAGGGUGCUUGCACCGCUGACGAGUGGCGAACGGGUGAGUAAUGCGUCGGAACGUGCCGAGUAGUGGGGGAUAACGCAGCGAAAGUUGUGCUAAUACCGCAUACGUACUGAGGUAGAAAGUGGGGGACCUUCGGGCCUCACGCUAUUCGAGCGGCCGACGUCUGAUUAGCUAGUAGGUGAGGUAAAGGCUCACCUAGGCGACGAUCAGUAGCGGGUCUGAGAGGAUGAUCCGCCACACUGGGAGUGAGACACGGCCCAGACUCCUACGGGAGGCAGCAGUGGGGAAUUUUGGACAAUGGGCGAAAGCCUGAUCCAGCCAUGCCGCGUGUCUGAAGAAGGCCUUCGGGUUGUAAAGGACUUUUGUCAGGGAGGAAAUCCCUAGCGUUAAUACCGCUGGGGGAUGACAGUACCUGAAGAAUAAGCACCGGCUAACUACGUGCCAGCCGCCGCGGUAAUAC